rnacentral:tRNA from 1 species
GGAUCGUGGCUUGGUGGUAGAGUGCUCGCCUAGCAUGCAUGAGGCACUGGGUUCAAUCCUCAGCACCA